UAUCCCAUUUUACAGUUGAGGAAACUGAGGCAUGAAGUUGUUAAGCAACUUGCCAAGAACACACAGCUUUGAAUCCAGGCUGUCUGCACCCAGAGCCCAUGUCUCAAUCACUGGGCACUGAGCAGGCACCAUAAAACUUCCUGUUUGCUCCCCUUCCCCACAUAACUGGUGGGGAAGACUGCAGGGUGGCUCAGAGGUAGUGCCAGGCUGGACCCUGGGGGGACUGACUCCUAGAGCUGAUGACUCCCCCACCCUGUGCCUCCAGCAUCCAGAUGGUCCACCAUUGCACCAUCCACGGGAACACGGAGGAGCUGCGGCAGAUGGCAGCCAGCCGCGAGGUGCCCCGGCCACUCUCCACCCUGCCCAUGUUCAACGUGCGCACCGGCGAGCGGCUGCCUCCCCGCGUGGACAGUGCCCAGGUGCCCCUCAUCCUGGACCAGCACUGAGGGCCUGGCCAGAGAGCAACCACAACUCUUGGCCACAUCCCACCUGCUGAAUCCAGCUCCUGGCCUAGCUGAUCCCCAAAGAGAUGGGGCAGGGUAGGGUGAGGGUGUUUGGAGCCAGGACCCACAGAAUAAACACCUGCCACUCUGCA